AGCCGGGUGGCGGAAGUGGCAGACGCGCCUCAUGUAAGGGGUGGGAGUUCGCGGCUCCCGAUGCAGGUUCAAGUCCUGCCCCGGCGACCG
rnacentral:tRNA from 1 species